GACGAACGCUGGCGGCGUGCUUAACACAUGCAAGUCGAGCGAUGAAGCUCCUUCGGGAGUGGAUUAGCGGCGGACGGGUGAGUAACACGUGGGUAACCUGCCUCAUAGAGGGGAAUAGCCUUUCGAAAGGAAGAUUAAUACCGCAUAAGAUUGUAGCUUCGCAUGAAGCAGCAAUUAAAGGAGUAAUCCGCUAUGAGAUGGACCCGCGUCGCAUUAGCUAGUUGGUGAGGUAACGGCUCACCAAGGCGACGAUGCGUAGCCGACCUGAGAGGGUGAUCGGCCACAUUGGGACUGAGACACGGCCCAGACUCCUACGGGAGGCAGCAGUGGGGAAUAUUGCACAAUGGGGGAAACCCUGAUGCAGCAACGCCGCGUGAGUGAUGACGGUCUUCGGAUUGUAAAGCUCUGUCUUCAGGGACGAUAAUGACGGUACCUGAGGAGGAAGCCACGGCUAACUACGUGCCAGCCGCCGCCGUAACAC
rnacentral:rRNA from 1 species